AACGCGAAGAACCUUACCUACCCUUGACAUGUCACUAACGAAGUAGAGAUACAUUAGGUGCCCGUAAGGGAAAGUGAACACAGGUGCUGCAUGGCUGUCGUCAGCUCGUGUCGUGAGAUGUUGGGUUAAGUCCCGCAACGAGCGCAACCCUUGUCUUUAGUUGCUACGCAAGAGCACUCUAAAGAGACUGCCGGUGACAAACCGGAGGAAGGUGGGGAUGACGUCAGGUCCUUAUGGCCCUUAUGGGUAGGGCUUCACACGUCAUACAAUGGUGCGUACAGAGGGUUGCCAACCCGCGAGGGGGAGCUAAUCUCUUAAAACGCAUCGUAGUCCGGAUCGUAGUCUGCAACUCGACUACGUGAAGCUGGAAUCGCUAGUAAUCGCGGAUCAGCAUGUCGCGGUGAAUACGUUCCCGGGUCUUGUACACACCG
rnacentral:rRNA from 1 species